rnacentral:rRNA from 1 species
GGGGAGUUCGCCGGCAACGGUGAAACUCAAAGGAAUUGACGGGGGCCCGCACAAGCGGAGGAACAUGUGGUUUAAUUCGAUGAUACGCGAGGAACCUUACCCGGGCUCAAACGACACAGGAAUACUUUUGAAAGGAGGUAGCUCUUAGGAGCCUGUGUCGAGGUGCUGCAUGGUUGUCGUCAGCUCGUGCCGUGAGGUGUCGGCUUAAGUGCCAUAACGAGCGCAACCCCCAUCGCCAGUUACCAGCAAGUGGAGUUGGGGACUCUGGCGAGACUGCCGGCGCAAGCUGUGAGGAAGGCGGGGAUGACGUCAAAUCAGCACGGCCCUUACGUCCGGGGCGACACACGUGUUACAAUGGCAGGUACAGAGAGAAGCAAUGCGGCGACGCAAAGCGGAACUUGAAAGCCUGUCUCAGUUCGGAUUGGAGUCUGCAACUCGACUCCAUGAAGCUGGAUUCGCUAGUAAUCGCGCAUCAGCCAUGGCGCGGUGAAUACGUUCCCGGGCCUUGUACACACCGCCCGUCAAGCCAUGGAAGCCGGGAGUGCCUGAAGUGUGCAACCGCAAGGAGCGCCCUAAGGUAAAACUGGUGACUGGGGCUAAGUCGUAACAAGGUAACCGU